rnacentral:rRNA from 1 species
ACGCUCGACACCUACGGGAGGCAGCAGUGGGGAAUAUUGCACAAUGGGGGAAACCCUGAUGCAGCGACGCCGCGUGGAGGAAGAAGGUCUUCGGAUUGUAAACUCCUGUUGUUGGGGAAAAAGAGGAUGGUACCCAACAAGGAAGUGACGGCUAACUACGUGCCAGAGCCCGGUAAUCUGAGCGGGCUGGCAAGGC